UACGGAGGGUGCAAGCGUUGUUCGGAAUCACUGGGCGUAAAGCGCGUGUAGGCGGCGUUCUAAGUCUGAUGUGAAAGCCCGGGGCUCAACCCCGGAAGUGCAUCGGAUACUGGGAGGCUAGAGUACCGGAGAGGAGGGUGGAAUUCCUGGUGUAGCGGUGAAAUGCGUAGAUAUCAGGAGGAACACCGGUGGCGAAGGCGGCCCUCUGGACGGAUACUGACGCUGAGACGCGAAAGCGUGGGGAGCAAACAGG
rnacentral:rRNA from 1 species